ACUCAUGCUCCUGGUCUGGCCAUGUGGGAUGUCUGUUCCUCGCUUCCCUCCUGCCAUGGCUGUUAAGUUUCCUGAGGCUUCACCAGAAACCAAGAGGAUUCCAGCACCAUGCUUCCUGUAUAGCCUGGAGAACUCCAAGAAGGAUCGUGUCAGUCCUGCAACUUGUCAGUGGAAUUAAAUUUCAGGCGUUUUAAAGAUAAAUGGUAAAACUGAACUGGAAAUCCAUCUGGCCGGCUGCCUGCUCUAAUGAAUAACCCCACUUUGGCUCGUGCAAUGACUUCUUCCCUUUGGAAUGCAAGUGCGGUGGCAGUGUCAAGGAUGCCUGUGUGUUUGCAGCAGGUUCCUUCCAGAAGCAGCUGCAAGUGCCACCUCCAGGCCAUCUGGCCAAUGUGAGGAAAGGAGGCUGCAAGGGCUUGGCAAAAACAACUUUCUGUUCCUCUGGUAUCCCCUGAUAACUGAUUUCAAGUUAUGGCCAAGGACUGCCUUAUCGCCGUCAGUGGCUGUCAAAAAUUUAUAAGUAUAUUCAUUUCCCUAUUCAACUUAAUUGGUAUUUUGGGUAUGACACUAGAAAAGCAAGUUAGACUUGCCUGUUGGAGUCCAAGGAUACCUCCAACAAAAUUCUAGACAAUAAAAGAAAGGGUAAGUGUCUGAGGGGAGGGGGCACUUACAAAUUAUUCCAUUUAAUGCUAAUUCGAGGCUUCCAGAUUCAUUUUGGGAAAAUCAAAGAGCAAGAGCUGUAUGCAUGGCUUUUUAAAACACAAAGAAAAUUGGGAAGCAUGGGCUUCCCAAUUUUCCUGCGCAUAAACUUCUAGAACAAUUUCUAUUGUUGAUACUUUAAAAAAAAUCUUUUUCUUUUCUGUGAUGUGGUCUUUUAAACUCAUACCACAACUUAUGGCUCCCUCUACUUCCUAUAUUUUAAUUGAUCUUGAGGUUAUUUUCAAGUCACUGGGCUUAAUGAACAAAUAUUUUAGAAUUUCUUCCUUUAUAUACACUCAUUUCUGUCUCAAUAAAAUGUCUAAUCAGGAAUUCACUUGUGUAGAAAAUAAAAAAUAGAAGUACAUACCCUUCAAGUGAA
rnacentral:lncRNA from 1 species